AUUGAACGCUGGCGGCAUGCCUUACACAUGCAAGUCGAACGGCAGCACGGGUGCUUGCACCUGGUGGCGAGUGGCGAACGGGUGAGUAAUACAUCGGAACAUGUCCUGUAGUGGGGGAUAGCCCGGCGAAAGCCGGAUUAAUACCGCAUACGAUCUACGGAUGAAAGCGGGGGACCUUCGGGCCUCGCGCUAUAGGGUUGGCCGAUGGCUGAUUAGCUAGUUGGUGGGGUAAAGGCCUACCAAGGCGACGAUCGGUAGCUGGUCUGAGAGGACGACCAGCCACACUGGGACUGAGACACGGCCCAGACUCCUACGGGAGGCAGCAGUGGGGAAUUUUGGACAAUGGGCGAAAGCCUGAUCCAGCAAUGCCGCGUGUGUGAAGAAGGCCUUCGGGUUGUAAAGCACUUUUGUCCGGAAAGAAAUCCUUGGCUCUAAUACAGUCGGGGGAUGACGGUACCGGAAGAAUAAGCACCGGCUAACUACGUG
rnacentral:rRNA from 1 species